UCUCUUCUCUGGUGGCCUCUCAUUGCAUUAUAUGCAUAUGACUGAGCAAAUGUGUCAUCAUUUGUCACUUUUUCCCUAUCUCGAUGAUUCACCUAACACGUAACUGUCAUACGUUUGUACAUUCAAUAGUGCACCAGUGUUACCACUGUGCAGUAAUUAAUGAGAGACUGCGUUGGAAAGUAUGAGGAGUCCCACCCACCUUCGUUAUAUACAUACAGGGACUGAGCUUGAAAGAUAGACCAGCGCGGCAGGAAGAGACGUCUAGCAAACCAAAAACCAUAAACCAUGAGUUAUCCAGGAUACCCCGCUCAAGCCGGAGGCUAUCCGCCCCAGGCAGGAGGUUACCCACCCCAAGCCGGAGGCUAUCCACCCCAAGCCGGAGGUUAUCCACCCCAGGCAGGAGGUUAUCCACCCCAGGCAGGAGGUUACCCACCCCAGGCAGGAGGUUACCCACCCCAGGCAGGUGGCUAUCCCCCUCAAGCAGGUGGCUAUCCACCACAGCCUGGAGCUGGAGGGUACCCAGCCAUACCCCCAGCAGAUAGUUGGGGAGGUGGUGCUGGUUUCCCCACCUUUGGUCUUGAUAAUCUGUCCAACCCUGGAUUCAACGCAGGCAAUCUCCCAGCCAUGCCAGGAGGACAGAUGCCCCAGCCUCAAGGCCCAGGCAUGGGCUAUCCAGGCCAGCCCAUGCCUGGCUACCCACGGGCACCCUCACCCAACCCCUCCAUGCCUGGUUACGGAGGAGGACCAGCGCCGAAUCAGCCCAUGCCAGUGUACCCUCAAGCCCCGUCGCCCAACCCGUCCAUGCCUGGAGGUGGAGCCAUUCCAGUCUCUCCUGCCAUCAAUAGAGGAUUCCGGGGAAGCAUCAAGGAUCAUCCGGGAGCAGACCCACUGAGAGAUGUGGAGGUUCUGAGGAAAGCCAUGAAGGGCUUUGGUACUGAUGAACAGGCCAUCAUAGACCUGCUAGGGAGUCGCUCAAACAUACAGCGUGUUCCCAUGCUCGCGGCCUUCAAAACUUCCUACGGAAAGGAUCUGGUUAAGGAUCUGAAGUCAGAGCUGUCAGGGAACUUUGAGAAGCUGGUGCUGGCCAUGUUGAAGACCCCAGCCCAGCUUGAUGCAUACGAACUCAAAGAUGCCAUUAAGGGUGCAGGGACAGACGAGGCUUGUCUGAUAGAGAUCCUGUCCUCUCGCUCCAACGCAGAGAUCAGAGAGAUCAGCAUGGUCUACAAAACAGAGAAUAAGAAGUCACUGGAAGAUGCCAUUAGUGGGGACACCUCAGGACACUUCCGUAGACUCCUCAUCUCUCUGGCCCAGGGUAAUCGAGAUGAAAGAGAAACAGUGGACAUCUCUGUAGCCAAACAAGAUGCCCAGGCCCUGUAUGCUGCUGGAGAGAACAAGGUGGGAACAGAUGAGUCCAAGUUCAAUGCCAUCCUGUGCUCCAGGAGCAAACCCCACCUCAGAGCAGUGUUCCAUGAGUAUCAGCAGAUGUGUGGCAGAGAUCUAGAGAAGAGCAUCGACAGAGAAAUGUCUGGAGACCUGGAGAGUGGAAUGGUGGCCGUGGUAACAUGCUUUUAGAUUAUUUUGACUGGAUGGCAUCGUUGUUGUUCUCUGACCUUGUAUCAAGAGAUGCUCAUUCUCCAUACACACUUCAUAGUAAUGAUGUGUUGUUUGCUUGUUCCAUUAUGCAUGAUGUUUGUCCGUACAGAAGUCAUGUUGAUGUGAUGUUUAAAAAUGUAUUUCACGCUUCUGACUGUGUUUAUUAAACUACAUUCGUAUAUUUUCAUAUACACUGAGUAUACAAAACAUUAUGUACUCUUUCCAUGAUAUAGACUGACCAGGUGAAUCCAGGUGAAAGCUGUGAUCCCUUAUUGAUGUCUCCUGUUAAAUCCACUUCAAUCAGUUUUGAUGAAGGGGAGGAGACAGGUUAAGAAGGAUUUUUAGGCCUUGAGACAAUUGAGACAUGGAUUGUGUAUGUGUGCCCUUCAGAGGGUAAAUGUCCAAGAUGGAAUAUUUAAGGGCUUUUGAAAGGGGUAUGGUAGUAGGUGCCAGGCACAUCAAUUUGUGUCAAGAACUGCAACACUGCUGGGUUUUUCACGCUUAACAGUUUCCCGUGUGUAUCAAGAAUAGUCCACCACCCAAAGGCCAUCCAACCAAUUUGACACAACUGUUGGAAACAUUGGUGUCAACAUGGGCCAGCAGCCCUGUGGAACACUUUUGACACCUUGUAGAGUCCAUGCCUUGACGAAUUGAGACUGUUCUGCGAGCAAAAGGGGAUGGUGCAACUCAAUAUUUGUUAUGUUUUGUACACUCAGAGUAUUUUCAAGUUUCGGUUUCAGAUAUGACUUGACAAUCUUUUCAGUUUUAUCCCUUCAUAUUAUUUUUAACCGUUAGCUUUGUUUGUUUUUGAGAGUUUCCUUCAACACACGGUAUCAGUCACCUUGUCUCAAGUCUGUUUGUGCUCUUGCAAACUCAAUAGCUUUCAUUUUCAAGCUAAACAUUUGGCAUGACAAUGACUGACUAGGAGUUGGCAUUGUAGCACAAAAAGACUGGACCAUGUUAUCAGUCCCUCCCUCCGAAGACUAGCGCCCGCCUACUAAGGUUAAUUCUAACCCUCUGCUCUCUCCGUGUUCCAGUCAAGUGUAUUAAGAACACACCCGCUUACUUUGCAGAGAGACUUUACAAGGCCAUGAAGGGGGCCGGGACCAAGGACAAAACCCUGAUUCGGAUAAUGGU